rnacentral:rRNA from 1 species
UACGGAGGGAGCUAGCGUUAUUCGGAAUUACUGGGCGUAAAGCGCACGUAGGCGGCUUUGUAAGUUAGAGGUGAAAGCCUGGAGCUCAACUCCAGAAUUGCCUUUAAGACUGCAUCGCUUGAAUCCAGGAGAGGUGAGUGGAAUUCCGAGUGUAGAGGUGUAAUUCGUAGAUAUUCGGAAGAACACCAGUGGCGAAGGCGGCUCACUGGACUGGUAUUGACGCUGAUGUGCGAAAGCGUGGGGAGCAAACAGG